UCCUCGAGUCUCAAGUUACAUCAUGGUAAUGCAAUCAAUUCAUUAUGGCAAAGAAAUCUAAGCACUCACCGACGAGGCGGAUAAUUGCCCCAGAGUCGUAGGAGUUGACGAAGAAUGAAUAUGAAGAAUGGAAGAAGCUCAAUGCUACAGGUAAUAUUUGAAUUUAAUUCUUCUUUGCGCAAAUUUUUCCUUCCUCUCAUUCUCUUAUUUAGCCUCUAGGUUUUGUGUUGAUUAUGUAAGACAUAUAGAAUUGAAUUUAGUUGUUAUUGUUGUGUCUAUGUGAUUGUUAAGAGAGAUGAAUGAUGGAGAUUGAGAGAGAGUGAGGUGAUGUAGAGUGAGAGGAAUUAAGAGAUUCAAAGAUUUCUGUGAGAAGUUCAGAUUGAAUAUGAUUGUGUAAUGAUUGUUCCCCUUCAAUGAUCAAUGAUGAUUGAAUUUAUAGGGCUUUGAAAAUAUAACUAAAAUGGGUAGCUCAGGGAAUCACAGUUAGAAGUUAGGGCAAUGUUUAGUCUGUUAGAUUUCACAAUGUAAGUUAGUUGGAUGUUACCAAACUCUGUUAGUUAACUCUAUUAAGACCAGUUUAGUUAGUUAUGAUGUUAGAGUGGUUCAGUUGGUGUUAGAAUGAGUUAAGUGAUGAAAUGUUAAUUAGUGUAAGUUAAAAGUCAGCUGGAGUUAUGUUAGGCAAAACUUUAGAUCAACCUGAGUUAGUUGUUAGUUAUGUGAAUUAGUUAUAACUAUGGAUUCUGUUAGGAAAUGUUACAGUUGAAACUAGUUAGAAACUCAACUGAACUUGUUUGUUAUCCUUAUUGUGCCAUGAGGUAUAAAUUCAUAUGAAUUAUAGGGAUGUUGAAUUGUUGUUAUGCUAUAGUAAUUGAAUGAUGAUAAUGGCUAGUAUUGAAACAUGAGGCAAUGUGAUUUGAUUGAAUAUCAUGCACUAAAAUGUUAAUAGGAAUUGUCAGGAUUAACUGUUAGUUAGUUAGGUUAGAGGCUGAAUUAGUAAAUGUUAUGUGCUAUUGCUAAACCUAAUGUUGAUUUAAAUGAAUAAAGGUAGUGACCUAAAUGCAUUAGAACUUGUCAUUCUAAACCAUUGAUGUUGAAUUGUUAGUGGUUGUGAAUAUGGAUAGGGUUAGUUAAAUGUUAUUUGAGCUAUAUUGAAUGCUAUUACCAUGAAAAUGGAUUGGAACUGUUUUUGUGGUCUGAUGUUAGAUUUGAAAAUUAAAUUUACUUGAGUGAAAGAAUGUUUCUUGUUAAAAUCACUAGGUAAAAGUAUGCUAAUAAACUGAAAUCACUUGUUGAAUUAAGGUAAAACUAGUUUGAAAUUAGCAAAUGAGUUUGAUGUGAAAAAAAGCAUUAGGUUAACUUGAAUCCUUGCUACAGUUGUACUGCUAAAGGUUACAAUUAGUUAAAGAUAUGCAAUUAGUGGAAAAGAAACUAUUAGGAGAUUGAGAUUGGAUGAAUUUAUACUUGUUAUAACUCAUUUCUUUUUAGAUUCAGUUAGCAUAAGUUCUAUUUGUAGAUUAGAAAAAAGAGUUAAUUAAUUAUUAGUGUUAAUAAAAUGGAAUCGUUAUCAAAUUUUGGUCUGAACUGAAUGAUAUUGGUAAAAAAAGCAGUUAGUUGAUUGAAGUCCAAUUAUUAUGGCACUGAACUAAAAAUGAAAUGGUAUUUUGUAUAUGCAUGAGUGUUGUUAUGAGCUUUCCAUGAUUGAGUUAGUGUGAAUGCAAUAACUAUUUUAUUAGUAGUAAUUUAAAACCCAUUUUAGGAAAUGGAUGUCAGUGAAUACUUGUAGACUUCUUGGUUUCUGAUUGGACUGUCAUAGCUUGAAUGGUGUUAAUGGUAAUGGUUUAUAGGUGUUGCAUUGGUAUGUAGUUGUUUAUCAAGCUUCAUGUUAGCAUAGCUAAAAAUUGAUUGUAAUGUAUUAUUGUGGAAAUACGAUGAACCUUGUUGUGUGGAUCAUGUGUUCUGACUUACAUUUGUGUGUGUGUGUGUGUAGGGUUGAUAUGCAUGAAAUGAAGUGACCUUUGCAUGACAUGUAGAUUUGGAAAGGCAUGGAUCAAGAGGCUUUCAUGAAGAUACAUUGAUGACUUGAAGAUCUAUGAAGGAUUUUGGACAAAAGGGGGUGGCUACAGAGAAUAAUGAGGAUUAGGGUUCAAGAUAGGUAGUUGACUUUAGUCAACUGUUUGACUAAAAAGUCAACAGUUGACCAAAAGUUAACCUAGGUCAAAAUUAGGGUUUUCUUUGUGUAAUUUUGUAUAUGGACUUGAAAUGGAUGGUUGAAAUGUAAACUUGAUGAUUUGUAAUAAGAAAUAGCCUUUGAAAUGAAUUGUAACUUAUGUUCCAAGUAAUCAUGCAUUUCCCUCGUAAUCUUGAUAUUUGAGUUUUGAACAUUCAAACUCUUGAACUUGAA
rnacentral:lncRNA from 1 species